rnacentral:rRNA from 1 species
UGGGGAAUUUUGCACAAUGGGGGAAACCCUGAUGCAGCGACGCCGCGUGAUUUAGAAGGCCUUCGGGUUGUAAAAAUCUUUUCUAUGGGAAGAAAAUGACAGUACCAUAGGAAUAAGGACCGGCUAAUUACGUGCCAGCAGCCGCGGUAAUACGUAAGGUCCGAGCGUUGUCCGGAAUCAUUGGGCGUAAAGGGUACGUAGGCGGGUAAGCAAGUUAGAAGUGAAAUCCUAUAGCUCAACUAUAGUAAGCUUUUAAAACUGCUCAUCUUGGGGUAUGGAAGGGAAAGUGGAAUUCCUAGUGUAGCGGUGAAAUGCGCAGAUAUUAGGAGGCAUACCGGUGGCGAAGGCGACUUUCUGGCCAUAACCUGACGCUGAGGUACGAAAGCGUGGGUAGCAAACAGG